GUGCCUGCUUCAGUAGCACAUUUACUAAAAUUGGGAUGACACGGAGAAGAUUAUUAUGGCCCUUGCACAAGGAUGACAUGCAGAUUUGUGAAGCAUUUCAUAUUUUU